rnacentral:rRNA from 1 species
CCCUUAGAUGUUCUGGGCCGCACGCGCGCUACACUGAUGCAUGCAACAAGUCUUUUCCUUGGCCGAAAGGCCUGGGCAAUCUUUGAAUAUGCAUCGUGAUGGGGAUAGACGAUUGCAAUUAUUCGUCUUCAACGAGGAAUUCCUAGUAAACGCAAGUCAUCAGCUUGCAUUGAUUACGUCCCUGCCCUUUGUACACACCGCCCGUCGCACCUACCGAUUGAAUGGUCCGGUGAAGGCUUCGGAGGCGGCUUUCUCAAUGUUUAUUCGGCGAGACUGCUGCCAAAGUUGAAUGAACCUUACCAUUUAGAGGAAGGUGAAGUCGUANCA